GAUGAACGCUGGCGGCGUGCCUAAUACAUGCAAGUCGAGCGAACAGACGAGGAGCUUGCUCCUCUCACGUUAGCGGCGGACGGGUGAGUAACACGUGGAUAACCUACCUAUAAGACUGGGAUAACUUCGGGAAACCGGAGCUAAUACCGGAUAACAUGUUGAAGCGCAUGGUUCAACAGUGAGAGACGGUCUUGCUGUCACUUAUAGAUGGAUCCGUGCCGGAUUAGCUAGUUGGUAAGGUAACGGCUUACCAAGGCAACGAUGCGUGACCGACCGCCGGGGGGGGUCGCCCACACUGGAGGUGAGACACGGUCCAUACUCCUACGGGAGGCACCAGUAGGGAAUGUGACGCAAUGGUCGAAAGCCUGACGGAGCAAGGCGGCGUGUGUGAUGAAGGUCCUCGGAUCGUAAAACCCUCUUAUUAGGGAAGAACAAAUGUGUAAGGAACUAUGCACGGCUUGACGGUACCGAAUCAGAAAGCCCCGGCUAACUACGUG
rnacentral:rRNA from 1 species